UUUUUUUUUUUUUUUUUUUUUGUUUAAUCGUUUUUUGGCUCUUGCAUUAUGGAUCCUUUAUCUUUUAGUUUUGGGAUUACCUAAAUAGUAUCACCGAACAAUAAUUUCAUAUUUGAUUAAGAAGAUCCCAACUGGGCAGAACUGAGAUCUAAGAGGUUGCAUGAACCGACAAUAAUGGUAAAUCGAAGUUCAAAGAAGUCAAAAUAAAAAAAGGAAGUACAUGCAUCAUCUAAACAAGGAUGCAAAAACUCCCAAAGAAAAGGGGUAGAAAAGGUUGCCCCUCCUAUAUCUCGACCCACACUACCAAUGGUAUGCAAUUUUUUUGUAAUUUUUUUUUCGAUAUCAAUUUUUGAACUUUAUGUAUUCCUCUUACAGUUUAAUACUUUUAAAUUUGAAGAAUGUUUAUGUCGAUAAUUUUUUAUUUUGCUUUUAAUUUUGUUUUCAUUACAGUUUAUUACUAUAAAUAAUAUACACAUAUGUACAACUCAUAAUAUCUUGUAAGAUACAAAAAUUUUACAAAAUUAUUAUGUACAUGAUACACCAUUGCCUCCACAAAUAAUAAAAUUGUAUUAUUCACAACACAUGGUACAAAUUAUCGAUUAUAAGAUUGAUACAACUCACAAAAGCUGAUACUAUAUCAGUAACAGCUACAAAAUAUACAAAAAAUAUAAUGUAUAUGAUACAUAGUUGAUUAAAACUAUUCUAACUGUAUAUUUUGAACUACAUCUGAUACUAUAUUCUUUUCACUUGAUACAAAUAGGUAAACUUGAUACUUUGAAUAUUUAGAAUAGUUUUACAUGUUGUAUAUUAUAACUUUUGUACACAUCACAACAAUUGGUAUUACUUUAAUAUCUCACGCCAAAGUUAUAAAAAUAUUAAGUAUCAAAUACACAAAAUUGCUACCAAAUUUACUUAUCGAAUAUCUUAGAAGUAAUAUACAAAUAACUACAGCUAAUACCAUUUUUUAAGCUGAUACAAGAAAUAUAUUAUAUACACGAUACAUAACUGCUUCAAAUAUCUCAACUUUGUAUUUUAAACAAUAACUGAUACUAUAUUAUUUGCCGUUGAUACAAAUAGUUCAUAUUGAUACUUUUAAUAUUUAUAAUAUGUUAACGUGUUAUAUCUUCUAACUUUGUCACAUAUAAUAACAACUGAUACUAUUUCACUAUCCCAUACAAAAGGUACAAAAAAUUAAGUAUCAGAUAGACAACAUGUAUAUCAAACUUACUCUAUCAGAAAUUAACAGUAAAAAAAAGUAGCCAAAAUUGAAAACAUAACCUUUUUCAUUUAUUGCAUCAUAAAAUAGUAAGCUAAAAGUACUUCAAAAAGUAUCAAAUUUAAGAAUUAUUAGACUUUAAAUAUCAAAGUAAUCUCAAAAAGUAAUCAUCAAGAAUCUUUUGGGUUGAAAGUACAUGUUCUUCGGUUGUGACCUUUUUGUCCACAACGUCCACAACAAUUUGUGUUUGUGCUUUAGCUUUUCAUAUGAAUUUUUCUUCCUUUUUUUCCUUGGUCUACCAGACAUUUUUUUGUAUCUUGGAAGCAAGACAACAUCUUCCAAAACACCUUCUGGAACUAUCCAAUCACUUCUGUCCGGCAUUGAUUCCUAACAGACGCCUUAAAAGUCCAACAACAAUCAUCUGAAUAACACACUAAUACGUAGCUGCAAUUAUACCAUACACAUUUAUUAUUUGAUCAUGUUUAAUGUAUCAAACCAUAAAUUGGAAACAAAAAAACAGUGCAAUAUCAAUGUUUCAAACAGAUUAACGAUGAACACAAUUUAUAAUUCUCAAAAUGAACAUGAUAUGUUGCUCGGAUACAAAUUUGAAAAUGAUACAAAAUAAACAUAUUUACCAAAUUUCACAUAUUAUUCUCAAAAUGAACAUGAUACUUUAUUAAAUUCACACAAUUAUAUACAAAUAUAAUAACCUAACACGUUUGGUGCACAGAACACAUAUUUUUUGUGUAUCAUGAUCAAAUAUCAACUAACAAAUUAUACAAAUGAAGAAUGUUAUCAAAUAUAUGUAUCACAUACCUUUUGUUAUCAGAUCUUUUAAUUCUAAAAUUGAAGUUAUGCUUUAUUUGCCUUGUCCUUGUACAAUUGCUUCACUUCCACAAAAGUACUAUUUAGAUCUAAUAUAUAAUUUUCUAUCUCAAUUUCUAGUAAGUAAUAGGAAUCAACAAUUUUCGAUUCAACUAUGCUUAGAGUUUUUGCGUCCCUUUUUCCACCUUUAAAACACACAAUUGCACUUGUGGUUGGAUCGAAAUUUUGUAUCUCUUCAUCACUUUUAUCCGUUGUAUCAAUGCAUAGUGGAUACAAACCGAAUCCUACCUCAUGUUUCUUCACUUCUAUGUAUAACUUCACUCCCAUAUCAUUCCUAAUACACAAUGGAGACUAAUUACCUUCCACAACGUAUCUUAUCUCGAUGUUUUUUUUCAAUUCAUCAAUAACCAAUUCAGCUGUAAUGGCUGAAAUAAGAUUCACAAACGAAAUAUUUUCUCCAACCACUCGCUCGUAACUAACAUCACUUUCCCAUAUUCCCGAAUGCCUUAACAAUAUCGAAAUAUUCAUUUUGAAUCUUCACAAAUUUUUGAUGCAAAAUUUUGUUAAUCAAGCUUUUGCAAUUUUUUGGAUGAAAUGGGAGACACAAUUACACAAUAUGAAAUUUAAAUCUUCAAGUUCUGUUACAUUUUUGUGAAAGGCUAAUUGUUUGAAGAAAGAAAUGUAUCCUUGAUUUGUGGGAUUUAAUUAUAUUUUCUAUUUUUAGUCCCUAAUUUAGCGCAGUAAAUUGAUAACAGAAAUCUCUAAAUUAAAGUAUCCGCGCUUCCCAAUUAUGUAUCUCUAUUAAAAUAAAGGGAUUUCUGUAAUUUAUGAAAGAGUAGGGAUAUGAUGUAAUUUGUAUGUUAUACUAUGUGGUUUGCAUAAUUUUUACUAGAAAGAAACCUCUAGUGUUUUUUUUGUUGUUGUUGAAUGUGUGAAGACAAAUCAAUAUUCUCAUAUUUAUAGGGCUAGGCACACAAAUCAUCUGGACCAGCUCUUAAUCUUCAAAAGGGAAACAAUUACAGUAAAAUCUUAUUAAAUUAAUAUUCGGUAAAUUAAUAAUUUCUUUAAGAUAAUAUUUUUAUCCGGUCUCAACUUGAAUCAAUGGAAAGAAUCUCUCAUUUCGAUAAGAUAAUAAGAUGUAUAUUUUCAGAAGAUCCUUAUAUAUAUAUGACCAUAUAAUAUCAUUAAUUAAUAAUUCUUUAAAAGUACAAAUAUAUCUAAGAUAAUUUAGUGAAAUAUGAUUCUAUUGUGUUUUAUUUUUUGUGAAAAUUUAAAUCUAAUUGAAGCUUAUCUCUAACUUUUCUUAUUGUAUCUCUAAAAGUUCCGAUGUUGCCUCGACUGUAAAUCUUUUUAGUAAAUGUCGAAUGAUCUCUUUUAUACUUACAUAGUCUUUUACGUAUUUGAAAUGUCAUUGUUGAUUUAGUGACACCUUUUAAAUGAGAAGCCAUUUUUGGAAAUGGCUUCAAGAAAUUUCUUAUGUUGCUUAUAUAGUUUAAUUCUCUCACCAUCAUACACUGGAUGUUUUUAGUAAAGAUACAAUGAAUAUUAUUUGAUUACUAAGAAACAAUUAAUAUUAUGAAUAUAAUUAAUUUAUUUUUACAAUGAAUGAUUGGAUUCUUGAAUUCAUUUUACAAUGAAUCAUACACAUACAUUGUACUUUAUGUAUAAUGAAUUUUUUUUUUAUUGAUUCAACAAAUAUGAUACAUAAUUUAGUAUGAUGCAAUGAUUUUGAUACAUUCAUUGUACUCUAUGGAUAUAUUUUUUUUUUAUGUGAAUUCAAUAUAUAUUAUCACACACAAAUUAGUAAGAUAAAAUGACUGUGAUUUGCAAAAUUCAUCAACAAAUAAAGAAAAGAUUAUUCUUAUGAAAGUCAUUAACACACAAAAUAUUCUUAUGGCAAAGGAUUAUAUCUCUUAUGAUAAAAUAUUUAUUUCAACCUAUAAUGGCUCUCGAUGAUCCUUACAUCAAAUUGCAGUAAAGAAGGGACAAUUUUCAACUAGAGAUGUGUUCCCUCUAGAAGAACCUUUUUAAUUUAUUUAUGAGAUUCAAAGUUAUUUUUUUCUUUUUUAAUAAUUUUUUUAAUUUUUUUUAUGGUCUUAAACUAAAGAUAUAUAUGUAGAUAGUAAAUAUUUUUUUAAUCUUGUGUUCCUAAACAUAUCAUGUGGAAGUUAGUUUUAAAUAUUGACCCAAAAAAUAAAGAAACAUUCUUUAAUAUUUCGAAACAAACAAAAAAAAGACAAAUAAAUUUAAAAAAUAUAGUACAUUUUUUUGUUUGUUAAAAAGGUUUAUAAUAAAUUUAUAAUUACUAAAAAAACGGACCCUUCAAAUUUAGGUGCCUAAGGUGUAUGCCUUAUUUUUAAGGGAAACUUACAUACUAUACUAUAUUAAAAAAUAUUUACCAUUUAUAGCAAUAACACUUUUUUUUACUUGAACACUUUUAAUACAUUUAUAAUACAUGUUUAAUGCAUAUUACAAAAACUAAUUUAUUAUUUACAUAUAAUACAAGUUUAAUUGAUGGGUAAUACAUUUAUCACAUAUUUUAAUACACUUAAAUGCAAUGUGUCAAAUUCUUACCAAACAAAUAUAACAUAUUCUAAAAAACAAUUAUAAUACAUAUAUAUUGUAUACAUAAUUAACUUUUAAUACAUAUUGCAGAUUCAACAUAGUAUUGCUAUGUAUUGCUAUAAAUGAUAAUAAAUAAAAAAUAUCGCUAAAAUCAGUAAUUAUUUAUUAAAAGGUAUCCAUCCAAGUAAGUUUUCCUAUUUUUUUUUAAAGGCAUUGAACCCCUCUAAGUUGACCUCUUUAAUUGCUAGUUGCUACGUUCUGUUCUUUGGAAUUUGUUUGUUGUGACUGGAUAAUUUUUCUUCCUUUAUAUGGUGAACAAGUUCUGAUUCAAAAAAGAAUAAAAAAUUAUGGAGAUGACAUUAGUGACUAUGCUUGUAUAGAUUAGUGGAUUUACUAAUCAAACUAAAAUGACCUUUUUUGGUCUAUGAAAUCAAAACAUCGGUAAAAAUAUUAUGUUGAUUGAAAAGAAGAUAUUAGGAAAGUAAGAGUAAAAAAUUUAAGACCACUCAUUUUUUCAAUGAGAGGAGCUUUGAUUUUUCGAAGUCCAUGUUAAUCAAGUGAUUUUUUAGAUAAUGAACUACGAAAUAGAAAAAUUAAAAAAAUCGUGGUGUCGGACAAUUUGCGCAAGCAACAUAUUUCAAAUGUAUUGGAAAACAAUGUUUUUGGAGUCGCAUAAACGUGUCCUUCAACUGUUAUCUAUUAGCCUUCAAGUGGCGUUUUACGUGUUAAUUGAUAUUUUACAUAGUGUUUUAUGUGUAUUAUGCCAUAUAGUAUAUAAACGUUUAUUUAUUUAAUUUUAUAUAAGUUUAAGUAUCUACUUAUACAUACCAAAAUUGAAGGACAUAAAUGUUAGUUAAGGCGAAAUCAAAUGAACUAUUGAUGUAUUGCGCCUUUUGAUUUCCUUCCAAAUAUUUUUACAAAGUAAAAUUUUAAGAAAUAAUACAAGUAACAAAAGAGUAUUUCAUGAACCUACAUAAGUUGAACAACUAAAAUUAGUAUCAAUAUUUUGUCGCCUCUUUAAUUGAUUUAAUGUGGUUGUUGUUUUUCAGGGAAAUAAUUUAAGUCAAAGUUAUUAGUACCUGAUAUUUUUCGAUUCUUAAUUAGAGGUCUCAUAUUUAAAUUUUGAUAUAGAGUUGUUGAUAGAAAAAAACAUUUUAUCAAUAAAGUGGGACUUCCAAACACAAAUUGAGAUUAAACGGGCUUCAAAACAGAUACGACACAUCCAAUUGGAAAACAUAAAAACAUAUUAUUAUCUUACACAAUAUAGCUAUGUAAGAUACAAAGUUCAUAUUUCCUUGUCCUUCAUUGUAAUUUGUAUGCAUUCCAACGCCGUGCAAGUGACGGACGACUUAUUACAAGCAAAUAGUUGUCCAGUUUUGCUAAUUUAAAGAUUCAAUUAUCAAAAUCGAAAAGAGUCAAAGAAGUCAACUAAAAUUAUUAUUAUUUUGGAAAUUACUAUCACAAGUUGUUGUAUUUUUUUCUACUUUGAAGAGCAUCUAUAGAUCUUAAUUUUAUACUCUAAAUACUGAAAAGUACAAAUGAAAUUAGUUCAAGUUAAUUACAUUAUAUAAGGCUGCUUAUCAAAUACUAAUAUUUUAUAUUUGUUGAGAAUCAUGAGGUUCAAGAUUUAUAUUUCAAUGGAGACAAAACAUCAGGUAGUUUCUUCUCAUUUGUUCAAGGCAUGGUGGUUAAUCAUCAAUGUUAUCAGCUAGUACCUGUUAUUGGUGGGGAGUUGAAAUUAGUCAAGUUCAUACAUACAAACUAAUAAAGAAGAUAAAUAUCAAGUAGUCAACAAUAAUUUAAUAUCAGGAAUACUAUGGAGUUUAAUUUGUACUUGGGAACAAAAUCAAAGAAGAUGAAUGUUGUGAACUUGGAUAAUUUCGGUCAUGUUUAUGGGCUAUUUAUUUGGGCCAGGGGUAAACCAGAAAAAUAGAUUAGAUAUAAAUUAGAUAAAAUAAAUGAAUUGAAAAAAAAAGAAAAAAGGAAUACUUAAGCUGAUUCCAAGAUGUAUGAUUGAAUCAAAGUAAUUUGUACUUCAUUCAAGCAUUGGAUCUCCUGUCUCAUAUCAAUUAAGAGGGGUCAUGGAAGGAACAUGUUCAAAGUCACGAUCAAUUCCUUUUUCAAAUCCUGCUGCAGCUUAGGGGUGUGCACUAUUCGGAUUAAAUCGAAUAAUCGAAUCAAAUCAAACCGAAUUUUUAUUUGCAUUGGUUUUUUGUUUUUUCGGAUUGGUUUUGGAUUAAUAAAUUACUUUGUUUGGUUUUUUGGUUUGGUUUCGAAUUUUAAAAAAUAAAAACUGAAAAACUGAAAAAACCGAAUUAUAUAUAUAUAUAAUGUUUAGGUUUAGAAUUAAGUUGGAGUUAACCACUUUUGUCCCUUUUUGGUUAUUGUCUUUCAUGAUGAUUACGUUUAUAUUUUAUGUUUGAAUUACAUCUAUAAUAGGUAUACUUAUAAGUAUUGUGUUUUAAGUUUUACCUAUGAUUUAUAUUAGAAAGAAUAUUUAAGGGAUUAAAUAUUAUUACUUUGGUUAUAUAUGUUAUUAAUUAUUGACAUAACCGAAUAACCAAACCGAAAAAAGCCGAACCGAAUAGAGGAAAACUAAACCAAACCAAAUUUAUUUUGGAUCGGAUUGGGUUACACUUUUACAAAACCAAAAACCGAAAAUCCAAACCGAAUAGUGUAAAACCAAACCAAAAAACCGAAGGCACACCCCUACGGCGUGAAGAGGUCAAGGAACAGUCCAACAAAUUAUUCAUUGGGAAAAUUGUACAUAAUGACAAACUAUUAAUUCAAAUUAAAUGGUAUAAUCACACUUUGAUUUAAUUGUGUCCUGUAGCAAAUUGUUUGUCAGCGUCUCUCUCCCUCAAACUCUCGCUCGCCACUCUCCUCUCUCGCUCACUCACUCCCUAUGUGCUCGCCUCUCUCGCUUUAUACAACAGAAUUGUAUAAAUUGUGUUUCUGUUUGUAUAAAGCAAGAGAAAAUUGUAUAUACACAUGCAAAUACAUAUAUAUUCGUCCUAUACACUUAUAAUUAUACAAUAAAAAUAUUUCCCUGCCCAGUUCUCUUUUGCCUUUCUCUCUUUCUCUUUUUAUACAAUACAAUUGUAUAAAUUGUGUUUCUAUUUGCUUAUACAACAAAAUUGUAUAAAUUGCGUUUCUAUUUGUAUAAAGCGAGAGAAAAUUGUAUAUACACAUGCAAAUACAUAUAUAUUCGUCCUAUACACUUAUAAUUAUACAAUAAAAAUAUUCCCCUGCCCAGUAUUAUGUUUGUAUAAUGUAUAAUUUAUGUUUGUAUAAAGCGAAAGAGAGAGCGAUUUUUGAUAUACAAAUAUUUUUGUCAACAAUUUAUACAAACGAGAGGCUAACAACAAUUUAUACAAAUGGCCUGCCAGCGAAAUUAUACAAAUUUGAAGAGGAGCCAACGAAUUAUACAAUGCUUCUUUUUGUAUAUAUGUAUAGCGAAAUAGACAGCUUUCAAUUAUAUAUGUAUAGCGAAUUAUACAUAUAUAUGUUUGCUAUGGAGCGCAAUUAUGCAAACUUUGCUAUAACAUACAAAUAUGAUUUUUUUGUUUGCUAUACGUGAAAAUUGCUCUUAUUCAUUCAUAUAAGACUUGAUUGCUAAUUUUCCCUUCAUAUAAUGCUUAUGGGCCAAUUAUUAUAGUGUGUUUCAGUAAAUUUCACAAAUAGACAAAUCAAUAUUCUCAUAUUUAUAGGGUUAGGCACACAAAUCAUGUGGAUCAGCUCUUAAUCUUCAAAUGGGAAACCUAUUAUGUAAUAUUUAGCCCAAUGCCCAUGUUGGGCCAAGCUUGUCACAGAAAAUGCUAAAAUACAGGCUCGAUUAGCCCAAUGGAUAGAUUUACUUGAAUGGACUGGGUUGUACAUUAGUUCAUUUAUUUUAGGAACUGAAAAAACAAGGGAAAUUUACAGAAAUUUCACUAGUUUAUGAGCUAAUUACUUAUAGAUACAUUCUAAUUUAUAGUAUUACGAAUCUCACCAGAUUAUGGUGUGUAGAUACAUGUAUCUCGGGAUAUAUGAGGGACAAAAUUAUGUGUAGUUUGUUCUAGAUACACUGUAUCUAAGUGGAUUUGGAUGUAUCUAAUAUACAUAGAGAAAUCUCGCUCUCCCCCCUCCCAACUCGCACGCCACUCUCCUAUGUAUCUGAUAUCCCAGAUACAUGCAAAUCACACGAGAUACACACAAAUACAUGUAUCUAGUAUGUAUUUAGUGUGAUUCACAUGUACUUGGAUACAUGACUAUCUCCCUCCCUAUCUCACCUGCCUCUCUCCCUAUUUUAGUGUAUCUGAUAGGAAAAAUACACCUAUUAGAAUUAGCAUAUAUAAUAUGGAUGUAUGUCUAGUAAGCAAUAUGGAUGUAUGUCUCGCAAGUUAAAUUAGGAAUAUGGUGUAUCUUCCUCUAUAUAUGGUAGAAAACUCUUAAUUAGUGGUAAGAUACGAAAUCUUUUGAAAGUAUAAAUAGGAUUACCAUAUAUGUCUGGUAUUCAUACAUUCAUAUUGUAUAUGCUAAUUCGUCAGAGACCAAUCCUACUUCUCAGAUGUAUGCAGAAAUAUGAUCGUUCAAUGCAAGAUUUAGGCAUAUAACUCGUCAACAUUAUACUCUCUUAGAUAAACUUUCAGGCAAUAAGAGCUCAGCCAUGUGCUGCAUAAAGUAAAGAGGAAAUACCCAAAGCAUUGUAUUAAACAAUCCAAACUCAAUGUCACACAUAACUUAAAAUAAAUUCAAGUUGAUUCUUGUAAAUAUAUAGAAUAUCUGGAAGUCGAAAUGAUAAUAAAUAUAACAGGAAGUAAUAUAUAUACUUUAUUUUCCUAGCUUAGACUUAAUUUUUCCUUCGAUGAUGGACAUGUUCAUGGUUUUUCAUCAUCCAUUUGAGCUCGAUCCUCCUUGUCUGCAACAAUUAAUUAAGAUGUAUGGCAUCAAAAUUAAUGGGAUCAAUACAACAACAUGGAACUAAUAUCAUCUAUGCUAACAACUAAUAAUAAUUUUUUUUCAGAACAAGCUAGAUAUGGUUGUUGCUUUACCUCUCAUCAUCCGCCGGCUGAAAAAAAAUUUCACUUGCCAGAACACAGCGGUGUAUGUGACACCUAACAACUGAACCAAAAUACAAAUAAAUAUCGAUCAACCAGCAAGGGGUAAAUUAAUUUUGAGUACCGUAUAAGAAACGAGCAUCUCAGCACCUGCCUUCGUUGCCUUCGCAUCGCUAACAGGGCCAGUGUAGUAUCUCUGGAAUAGAAUUGAGAGAGUGUGUGUGUGUUAAUUAUAGGCUAAAAUUGAAAUUACUAAAACAAUUGAACGUACCUGACCAAAUUUGAUGACGGAUCGGUGGAAUCUGGUGCGGUGCAAGACGCCACCGUUUCUCAUGCUAGAAACUAAAUGCUUUGUCGUGAUAUCAAUCGUAGCGUUAAAAAAACGAGUUAACAGUCCCAUCUAGCUACAACAAUUGUGAAUCUGAAAUCAAAAACUAAUACAGUAGUGGCGGUGGAUCAAUAAGUUUUAUGUAAAUGCUAAUUGUAGGUCUAAAAAUAUUUUAACUAUUCAACAAAUAUUAUAACCCAAUAGCUGGUUUAAUGGUGUUAAUUUGACUCAUCCAAACACAUGUAGUUUUCAAAAACCAACGCAAAGAUCUGGUCCUCAAUUUCCUCCAAAAUACGAUUCUACUGUAAGUAGCAAGCAACACAGUGCAAUUCACUACUUAUGAGAGAUAUGUGGGUGGGCAAAUUUAUAGACCAUUCUUUUGUAAAGAAACACACGCAGCUAGGUGGGGGUCGUGGGUUCGGACUAACCCAUUCGUUUUUUCGUAGACCCUGUUUUUGUACUAGAAAAUUAAUUAAAAGAGUAUUUGUUUGGUUGUGACCGGAUAAUUUUUCUUCCUUUAUAAGGUGAACAAGUUCUAAUUCAAAAAAGAAUACAAAAAUUAUGGAGAUGACAUUAGUGACUAUGAUUGUAUAGAUUAGUGGAUUUACAAAUCAAACGAAAAUGACCUUUUUUGGUCUAUGAAAUCAAAAAGAUCGUUAAGAAAUUCUGUUGACUGAAAAGAAGCUAAGGUAUUAGAAAAGUAAGAGCAGAAAAUUUAAGACCACUCAUUUUCAAUGAGACGAGCUUUGAUUUUUCGAAGUCCAUGUUAAUCAAGUGAAUUUUUAGAUAUUGAACUACUAAAUAAAAAAAUUUAAAAAAUCGUGGUGUUGGACAACCUAAAAUUUGCGCAAGCAACAUAUUUCAAAUGUAUUGGGAAACAGUGUUUUUGGAGUCACAUAAACGUGUCCUUCAACUGUCAUCUAUUAGCCUUCAAGUGGCGUUUUACGUGUUAAUUGGUAUUUUACAUAGUAUUUAUGUGUAUUAUGUCAUAUAGUAUAUAAACGUUUAUUUAUUUAAUUUUAUAUAAAUUUAAGUAUCUACUUAUACAUACCCAAAAUUAAAGGACAUAAAUGAUAGUUAAGGCGAAAUCAAAUGAACUAUUGAUGUAUUGUGCCUUUUGAUUUCCUUCCAAAUAUUUUUACAAACUAAAACUUAAGAAAUAAUACAAGUAACAAAAGAAUAUUUCAUGAACCUACAUAAGUUGAACAACUAAAACUAGUAUCAAUAUUUUGUCGCCUCUUUAAUCGAUUUUAUGUGGUUGUUGUUUUUCCAGGGAAAUGAUUUAAGUCGAAGUUAUCAGUACCAUUGUGGUAAGUGGUAAAUAUUUUUCGAUUCUUAAUUAGAAGUCUCAUGUUUAAAUUGUGAUAUAGAAUUGUUGAUAGAAAAAGAGUUUUACCUCUAAAGUGGGACUUUCAAACACAAAUUGAGAUUAAACGUGCUUCAAAACAGAUAUGGCACAUCAAAUUGGAAAACAUAAAAACAUAUUAUUAUCUUACACAUUAUAGCUAUGUAAGAUACAAAGUUCAUAUUUCCUUGUCCUUCAUUGUAAUUUGUAUGCAUUCCAAAUGUCAACGCCGUGCAAGUGAUGGACAAGGAACAGCCCAACAAAAUAUUCAUUCAGAUAACGAUAAGGAAAUUUUUUGUAUGAAAUAGCAAAUUAUUAAUUCAAAUUAAAUGUUAUAGUCAUAGUUUAUUUUAAUCAUAAUUCGCAGUAAACAUCCCCUUUUUUCCCAUCUGAUUCGAUACACAAUUAGCCAUUUUCAGUAUAGAAUUAGUCAUUUUACACAUUUCGGUAUAAAAUGUGUUUGUGUUUGUAUAAAAUGAGAGAAAAGUGUAUAUACAAAUACAAAUACAAAUACAUAUAUUUUCGUCAUAUACACUUAUAAUUAUACAAAUACAGAUCUUAUUAUACAAAUUACAAUGUAUAAAUGAAUUUAUACAAAACUAAACAAUUUGUAUAAAACUGGAUGUUUGUAACGAAUUAUACAAAUCAAAAGCUCCAUAGCAAACAUAAAAUUUGCUAUAGAGCGCAAUUAUGCAAACUAUAGCUAUAAAAUACAAAAAUGAUUUUUAUGUUUGUUAUAUGUGAAAGUUACUCCGAUAAGUAAUAUUUAGUCCAAUGCUCAUGUUGGGCCAGGCUUGUCACAGAAAAUGCGAAAAUACAGGCUCGAUUAGCCCAAUGGAUAGAUUUACUUGAAUGGACUGGGUUGUACAUUAGUUCAUUUAUUUUAGGAACUGAAAAAAAAGGGAAAUUUACAGAAAUUUCACUAGUUUAUGAGCUAAUUACUUAUAGAUACAUUCUAAAUUGUAGUAUUACGAAUCUCACCAGAUUAUGGUGUAUCUAGAUACAUUUAUCUUGGGAUAUAUGGGGGUCAAAAUUAUGUAUAGUUUGUUCUAGAUACACUGUAUCUAAGUGGAUUCGGAUGUAUCUAGGAUACAUAGAGAAAUCUCGCUCUCCCCCCUCCCAACUCGCACGCCACUCUCCUAUGUAUCUGAUAUCCCAGAUACAUGCAAAUCACAUGAGAUACACACAAAUACAUGUAUCUAGUGUGAUUCACAUGUACUUGGAUACAUGACUAUCUCCCUCCCCAUCUCACCCGCCUCUCUCCCUAUUUUAGUGUAUCUGAUAGCAAAAAUACAUCUAUUAGAAUUAGCAUAUAUAAUAUAAUAUGGAUGUAUGUCUCGUAAGUUAAAUUAGGAAUAUAGUGUAUCUUCCUCAAUAUAUGGUAGAAAACUCUUAAUUAGUGAUAAGAUACGAAAUCUUUUGAAAGUAUAAAUAGGAUUAGCAUAUAUGUCUGGUAUUCAUACAUUCAUAUUGUAUAUGCUAAUUCGUCAGAGACCAAUCCUCCCUCUCAUAUGUAAGCAGAAACAUGAUCGUUCAAUGAAAGAUUUAGGCAUAUAACUCGUCAAACAUUAUACUCUCCUAGAUAAACUUUCAAUUACGUACCUUGGGCAAUAAGAGCUCAGCCAUGUGCUGCAUAAAGCAAAGAGGAAAUGCCCAAAACAUGUAUUAAACAAUCCAAACUCAAUGUCACACAUAACUUAAAAUUGAUUCUUGUAAAUAUAUAAAAUAUCUGGAAGUCGAAAUGAUACUAAUAAAUAUACUCUAUUUUCCUAGCUUAGACUUAAUUUUUCCUUCAACAAUGGAUAUACUUGUUCUUAAAUUCCCUGGUUCAUGGUUUUUCAUCAUCCAUUUCCUUGGCCUGAGCUCGAUCCUCCCUGUCUGCAACAAUUAAUUAAGAUGUAUGCCAUCAAAAUCAAUCAAUACAUCAUCUAUGCUAACAACUAAUAAUAAUAAUAAUAUUUAUUUUUUUUCAGAACAAGCUAAUAUGGUUGUUGCUUAAUUACCUCUCAUCAUCUGCUGCACGACAGGGCUGAAAAUAUUUUUGUAGUGCCAGAACACAGCGGUGUAUGUGACACCUAACAACUGAACCAAAAAUAUUAUGAGGGUAAUAACUCAAAAAAUAAUCGAUCAACCAGCCAGCAAGGGGUUUUGAGUACCGUAUAACAAACGAGCAUCUCAGCACCUGCCUUCAUUGCUCUCUCAUCGCUAACAGGGCCAGUGUAGUAUCUCUGGAAUAGAGUGAGUGUUAAUUAUAGGCUAAAAUUGAAAUUACUAAAACAAUUAAUUAAUUAACCUACCUGACCAAAUUUGAUGACAGAUUGGUGGAAUCUGGUGCGGUGCAAGACGCCACCGUUUCUCAUGCUAGAAGCUAAAUGCUUUGUCAUAUUAUUAAUCGUAGCUAUAACAUAAGGUUUUAUUAGUGCCUUCAUACUUACUUGUGAAGAUAUCUGUAUGUAUCUACAACAAUUGUUCUUUUUUAUGCUACCUUUGUAGACAUUGAAAUUUUGUGGGACUCUACAAGAGGUAUUCAAUUCAAAUUAAGACUCUAGAAGGUGUGUUGAGUUUCAAUUAGAAUCUACUCAACCCUAAACCUUAUUUUAUGUAUAUAUAAAGGAUACGUACUAAAUUCUCUUAAAAGGCAUCUCAAAAAUUCCAUAGAGAGAUCAAGAUCUCAAAUAUUCCACAAAAUCAUGGAAUAUUUAUAUAGAGGUCAAAUCUAAAUCAUCCUAGUUCGAGAAAUACGCCACCUCGAAUCAUGGAUAAAUCUUAUGAGAGGAGAAUCAAGGGAGGAACAAAAUUGUAUACCCGCAUUGAUUAUCAAUAAAAUAUUCAUGUUUCUUCAUAUUUUAUUUGUUUGGUUUAUUUAUUUUUCAUAUGUUUAAAAUUUGUUGCAAACACCCUUAUCUAUAUUUUUGUCCGAUUUAAUCCUUUAAUUAUUCAACAAAUAUUAUAACCUCAUAUCUGGUUUAAAGACAUCCAUUAUCCAAAGACUUGUCGUAGUUUUCAAAAACCAUGCUCCUCAAUUUCCCCCAAAAUACGAUUAUGUAAUUAGCAAGAAACACUGUGCAAUGUCAGUACUUAUGAACAAACAAAUUAUUGACCAUUCUUUUAUGAAGAAGAACACACAGACGUAGAAUACAACUUUUUUGAAGACGAUGAAUAACUUGGAAUUUUAAAGACACAAAACAGUAUCGAUGUCCAAUCUGCAAUAUGGAAUAUAUCAUAUCAGAUUCAAUUUUUUUACAAGCGUUACUUCUUAGAACGGCCCUUCAUUAUGAUAGUCAGGUAACAAAAGAUCAUGCACAACUGUAAGACAAUCAGCAGUUGGUGUUGCCACAUCCAUGACAUAGGAAAGUUGAUGUUGCAAAAUAAAUUAUGGGAAGAUUAAUAUCUUCAGAUUAUUGCAAUCGAAACAGGUUAUAAAUACUUAAGUAAAAGAUUACUCAUUUUCCUCUCUUGUUUGUUGUAUACAAAUAUGAGCAUGAUGAUGGAAUCACAUGCAAAAGUAAACUAAAAGUUUACUAAUAUCAGUUGGUAACCGGUUGAUCAUUUCGGUUCAAAUGUGAUGCAAAUGAAAUUGAGAAUUCAUAUGGUUGUAUGUUAAAGAAAUAAAAAUUCUUCAAAAAUUUUGUUGGGUGGGUUGUUCUUGUGAUAAAAUGAUUAUUUGAAACAUAUAAAUUAUUUGGAACAUAUAAAAAAGUGAAUAUGAGCCCGUCAUGUGAACCGCUUACUAUUAUGAUUUAAUAAAUGCAUCUAUGGUAUGUCACAUGUGCAUUUGUUAUCAACUUACAAAUUGAUUUUUUUGUAAGGCCGUUUGCUCGAAUUGUUAAAUUAAGAGUACAGUUUCAAAUUAUAAAAUUUUAUUGAUAAUGGUGGUUGGUUUAUAUGCCUCCAAUCAUAGCUAGACCAUUGAUUAUGAGAACAACACUUUCAAAUAAAAUUUGGUAUGAAAUGUGUUUAUUUAAUAUGUACUCAUCAAGCCAACAGGGUUCUCCCAUUACAAUUGGUUCAAAGUCAAGAACCAAAUAAUUUCCAACUAAAAAUUUGAUCUCUUCGCGUGUUACACUUAUUUCUUAGUAGCAAAAAAAUCAAUCAAUUAUUCCUUUUUUGCCAGAAUCAAUGUCACUUUUCCAUCCUUUCAUUUGUUGCGCAAGUGCUUUUAACCUUUUCAUUAUAUGCUCUUUGUUAUUGUUCACUUGAUCUGUAUAACAUAUAUAAUUUUCACUUUGUUGGAAUGAGAAAAUGCAAAUGACCCCUGAAAUUAAUAACAAGAACUACAAAAAAUAGAUCAGAAAUGGAUGAAACGUAAAAGUCUUUUAAAAUAAACUAUACAUAAGAAAUUCUUGUCAUUAUCAUGGAAACAAAUAUGACCGUUUCAAGUACAAAUCUACUACUUGAUUGAGCACUACGGCGUGAUGAAAUAUUAUCCUUUUCGUCUAAGUCUAUUAUUUAGUAUAACAAUUUCUACUAGAUCUAUUAUGGCGUAAUAAACAGUUUUUUUUGUCUAAAGAUAAGAACUAAAAUUCUCAAGGAGAUUCUGCCGAAAAUUAUUAGAAAUGUUAAUCAAUUAACUAGAAGUAUAUGUUGAUAAGCAUGUACAUAUAGUAAGGGUAAUUUUGUCUAGCAGAAUAAACAACUACAUAUAUAAUUUUAAAAAAUUAAUUUUGGGUCCAACAUGUUGUAAAUCAGUUACUCAUUAUGUACAUGAAAAUUUCAACUCAAAAAAAAUUAAUUUGUAAUAGUCAAACCUAUAUGUUGUUGAUGGCAAUUUUUAGGCUCAAACCGACUACUUUAAGAAGUUGAGAUUUAUAAUAUUGUAAUCUUUUUUUAAAAAAUAUAUCAAUUUUAUUAUUCUAUUCGUUUUAUUUUAUUUAGAGAAAUUCUUAAGGGGUUAGGUACUUUUGUAGAGAUAAGAUUAGUUACUUGGUUCGACAUUUAAAUUUUUUAAACUGAUUAAGAUAAAUACAAUUUUAAAAAAUAAUGUAAAUAUAAAAAGUUGACAUGUUCACAUGGUAUGCCCAGUUUCUAUCAGUACAACACCCUUUCACUUUCUCCGAGAGAAAAUGAGUAAUGGACAUCGAUAGAUUAGUGGAUUCACUCUGCUUUCCUCUCACUGUACCCCAACAUCAUUACCAUACAAGAACAAAAAAUAUUGAUAUAGCCGGAAAUAACUAAUUAAUACCAAGGGAUUUCAAUCAAGCACAAACCAAAAAGAUACAACAUACAACAUUUUAAAUAGCUAGAUAAGUUUAGUUACUUACUUAACCAAAAAGCCAAGCCAUUAUUCCUCCUUUUUAGCUAGAAUCAUUUUAUAUCUUCAUUUCUUUCAUUUGUUUCAAGUCUUUUUCAACCGAUUCUAUCCAUUUUAAUAUAGUUCUUUAUUCUGCUUCAUUUGAUCCUAUAGAGAAGAUGUGAUGUUCAGAAGUUGAGAUUUAUAGGAUCAAACCGACUACUUUCAUGACAAUUUUUAGGAUCAAACCGACUACUUUCAGAAGUUGAGAUUUAUAAUAUUGUAAUUUUUUUUUUGAAAUAUAUUAGUUUUAUUAUUCUGUUCGUUUUAUUUUAUUUAGUGAAUUCUUAAGGGGGUUAGGUAUUUUUCUAGGGAUAAGAUUAGUUACUUGGUUAGGGAUAAGAUUAGUUACUUGGUUAGACAUUUAAAAUUUUUAAACUGAUUAAGAUAAAUACACUUUCAAAAUAUAAUAUAAAGAUAAAAAGUUGACAUGUUCACAACACCCUUUCACUUUCUCCGAGAGAAAAUGAGUAAAGCACAUGAAUAGAUUAGUGAAUUCACUCUGCUUUCCUCUCACUAUACACAUCAUUACCAUACGAGAACCAAAAAUAUUGGUAUAGGCGGGAAUAACUAAUUAAUACCAAGGAAUUUCAAACAAGUACAAACAAAAAAGAUACAACAUACAACAUUUUAAAUAACUAGAUAAGUUUAGUUACUUACUUAACCAAAAAUCCAAGCCAUUAUUCCUUAUUUUUUUGCCAGAAUCAUUUUGCAUCUUCAUUUCUUUCAUUUGUUUCAAGUCUUUUUCAACCGAUUCUAUCCAUUUUAAUAUAGUUCUUUAUUCUGCUUCAUUUGAUCCUAUAGAGAAGAUGUGAUGUUCAGAAGUUGAGAUUUAUAGGAUCAAACCGACUACUUUCAUGACAAUUUUUAGGAUCAAACCGACUACUUUCAGAAGUUGAGAUUUAUAAUAUUGUAAUUUUUUUUUUGAAAUAUAUUAGUUUUAUUAUUCUGUUCGUUUUAUUUUAUUUAGUGAAUUCUUAAGGGGGUUAGGUAUUUUUCUAGGGAUAAGAUUAGUUACUUGGUUAGGGAUAAGAUUAGUUACUUGGUUAGGGAUAAGAUUAGUUACUUGGUUAGGGAUAAGAUUAGUUACUUGGUUAGGGAUAAGAUUAGUUACUUGGUUAGGGAUAAGAUUAGUUACUUGGUUAGGGAUAAGAUUAGUUACUUGGUUAGGGAUAAGAUUAGUUACUUGGUUAGGGAUAAGAUUAGUUACUUGGUUAGGGAUAAGAUUAGUUACUUGGUUAGGGAUAAGAUUAGUUACUUGGUUAGGGAUAAGAUUAGUUACUUGGUUAGGGAUAAGAUUAGUUACUUGGUUAGGGAUAAGAUUAGUUACUUGGUUAGGGAUAAGAUUAGUUACUUGGUUAGGGAUAAGAUUAGUUACUUGGUUAGACAUUUAAAAUUUUUAAACUGAUUAAGAUAAAUACACUUUCAAAAUAUAAUAUAAAGAUAAAAAGUUGACAUGUUCACAACACCCUUUCACUUUCUCCGAGAGAAAAUGAGUAAAGCACAUGAAUAGAUUAGUGAAUUCACUCUGCUUUCCUCUCACUAUACACAUCAUUACCAUACGAGAACCAAAAAUAUUGGUAUAGGCGGGAAUAACUAAUUAAUACCAAGGAAUUUCAAACAAGUACAAACAAAAAAGAUACAACAUACAACAUUUUAAAUAACUAGAUAAGUUUAGUUACUUACUUAACCAAAAAUCCAAGCCAUUAUUCCUUAUUUUUUUGCCAGAAUCAUUUUGCAUCUUCAUUUCUUUCAUUUGUUUCAUGUCUUUUUCAAUCGAUUCUAUCCUUUUUAAUAUAAGUUCUUUGUUCUGCUUCAUUUGAUCCUGUAGAGAAGAGAAGAUGUGAUGUUCAGUUCGAUCAAGUGAGACGACACAACUGGGCCUGAAACAAACAACAAAAACCUAUCAGAAAUGACAACUGAGCCCUGAAACAAACAACAAGAACUUAUUAGAAAUGGAUGAAACAACAAGAACCGAUUAGAAAUAUAUGAAAGGUAAAAUUCUUACAAAUACUACGGAACAAAAAAUGAGUGAUUCAACAAGAAGUUUCUUGGUUGAUGCCCCACUAUGGCGAGGUUUAAUAGUGGCCUUUUGGCCACUCCAAAAUUUCACAUUGGAGUCUCUUAUAUCAAAAUCAACAUCCGAAAUAGCUUCACCCAGCUGAUCCACGCGUGGACUAUCCUUUACUUUAUCAACAAGUUUUUAAGUUACAUAUUGGACAACCCCUGAUUUCGACAUUAUUUGUUUCGGAUUCACGAUGGCAGCUUUUAGAGGGCGGCGGUUAUAUUUUACUUUUUUUUUAGGAGAAAGGUGGAGUUCUAUUGUUUUGUUUAGAAAUAUAAUAUACUAAUUUAUAAAUAUACUAAUUUAUAAAUAUAAUAUACUGAUCGAUUUAAUUAAUAAAUUUCUACUCAUCUAUUAUGACGUAUUAAAUGUUUUUUUUUGUCUAAAAAUAAGAAAUAAAAUUCUAAACGAGAUUCUACCAAAAAUUAUUAGACAUGUUAAACAAUUAACUAGAAAUAUGUUUAUAUAUAUCUAUAUAUAGUAAGGGUAAUUUGCCUUUGCAUAAUAAACAAUUACAUAUAUAAUUAAAAAAAUUAAUUUCUGGUCCAACAUGUUGUAAAUCAGUUACUCAUUAUGUACAUGAAAAUUUCAACUAAAAAAGAAUUAAUUUGUAAUAGUCAAACCUAUAUGUUUUUUAUGACAAUUUUUAGGAUCAAACCGACUACUUUAAGAAGUUGAGAUUUAUAAUAUUGUAAUUUUUUUUGAAAUAUAUCAGUUUUAUUAUUCUGUUCGUUUUAUUUUAUUUAGUGAAUUCUUAAGGGGGUUAGGUAUUUUUCUAGGGAUAAGAUUAGUUACUUGGUUAGACAUUAAAAAAUUUUAAACUGAUUAAGAUAAAUACACUUUCAAAAAAUAAUAUAAAGAUAAAAAGUUGACAUGUUCACAACACCCUUUCACUUUCUCCGAGAGAAAAUGAGUAAAGCACAUGAAUAGAUUAGUGAAUUCACUCUUCUUUCCUCUCACUAUACACACAACAUUUUAAAUAACUAGAUAAGUUUAGUUACUUACUUAACCAAAAAUCCAAGCCAUUAUUCCUUCUUUUUUUUUGCCAGAAUCAUUUUGCAUCUUCAUUUCUUUCAUUUGUUUCAUGUCUUUUUCAAUCGAUUCUAUCCUUUUUAAUAUAAGUUCUUUGUUCUGCUUCAUUUGAUCCUGUAGAGAAGAGAAGAUGUGAUGUUCAGUUCGAUCAAGUGAGACGACACAACUGGGCCUGAAACAAACAACAAAAACCUAUCAGAAAUGACAACUGAGCCCUGAAACAAACAACAAGAACUUAUUAGAAAUGGAUGAAACAACAAGAACCGAUUAGAAAUAUAUGAAAGGUAAAAUUCUUACAAAUACUACGGAACAAAAAAUGAGUGAUUCAACAAGAAGUUUCUUGGUUGAUGCCCCACUAUGGCGAGGUUUAAUAGUGGCCUUUUGGCCACUCCAAAAUUUCACAUUGGAGUCUCUUAUAUCAAAAUCAACAUCCGAAAUAGCUUCACCCAGCUGAUCCACGCGUGGACUAUCCUUUACUUUAUCAACAAGUUUUUAAGUUACAUAUUGGACAACCCCUGAUUUCGACAUUAUUUGUUUCGGAUUCACGAUGGCAGCUUUUAGAGGGCGGCGGUUAUAUUUUACUUUUUUUUUAGGAGAAAGGUGGAGUUCUAUUGUUUUGUUUAGAAAUAUAAUAUACUAAUUUAUAAAUAUACUAAUUUAUAAAUAUAAUAUACUGAUAGAUUUAAUUUCUAGUAUAACAGUUAAUAUUUUCCAAUUGCAUAUUUAAUUAAAUAAUUAAGUUUUUAGAAAAAUAAUAUAUUUUGAUCUUAUAAAAAAUAUAGUGAAAGCAAAUGUUUUUUUGGUUAUCAAAUUUAUAUUUUUUAAUACACUUUCAAUAAAAAAAAUUCUUGAUAAACAUUUUAAUUAGGAAAUAAAUAUUGAAUUUAAUAUUACCUUUUUUAUUUUAUGCUCGAAACAAGCAAGUGUCCAUUUGUCAACAAACAAAAAAUUUCUCUACUAGGUCUAAAAUCGUCUUUUUAAAUAUAUAUUCAUUAGAUUUAGUCUUUUAACUAUUUAUUAUAUUAUUACUACCACUGAGUUGAAAAUACUAAAAAUUAUUAUAAAAAGAAAAAAAUGAUUAACUUUUACGUCGUUUGGUUUGAAUACAAGUUCUGAUCGGAUAAGUUAUGCAUAAGAUUCUAUUUAGCGAGUGUUUGGUUUGUUGUAUUCAAAAUAAUAUGCAUUGCAUACGUUUUAUGAACGUACUAUUUGUUUACAAAAAAUACCUUUUACUUUAUUAAGUUUUAAGAAAAAAUAUUAUAUUUCUUUUUUACCAAUAGAAUACAAGUAACUUUAAUCACUUCGUUGACAUUUUUGAUAAUUGUCGACGUGACAUUCCGAUUCGACCCGAUAUUUGAAUCAAGACUACCCCAACACUCGAUCUGGGAUCCGACAUUCAAAUCGAGAUUCGAUUCGAACAGCCGAGAUCGACGAUUGGUCCAGGAUUCGAUACCUGACCUUGGACUCGAUCUCAAUUCUUGGCCCUGGAUUUGACCCCAAUCCUGAAUUUGAAAUGGGACCUCACACUCGAAUUUAGACCCAACUUUUGAACCAAGAUUCAAUCAUGAAUUCAUGACUCUCGAUUUUCUCGAUUUGGGACUCAAUUUUCAAAUUGGGACCUGACCUCGACACCUAAUUUUGGAUCUGACUUUCAAACUAGUAUUUAACCCUACACCCGACCUCAACGAUCAACUCAAAACCCGAAUCUGAUACUUGAUUUGGGACCCAAUCUUGACCCCAGACUCAAAACUCAACUGUCGACUCGGUAUUUGACCCAGAUAUGACACAUAAAUAUGGACCCGACUUCUGAUUCAAAAUUUGAUCCCAACUCCUGACCCGAGAUCCAACUUUGAACUAAGACUCGACCCUGAUAUUUGAUCUGGAAAUCGACUUUCAAAUCAGGAUUCUAUGCCGACACUAACACCUGACCUCGAUGAUGGAUCCAGAACCUGAACCCGAUACUCAAUUUAGCGAGUGUUUGGUUUGUUGUAUUCAAAAUAAUAUGCAUUGCAUACGUUUUAUGAACGUACUAUUUGUUUACAAAAAAUACCUUUUACUUUAUUAAGUUUUAAGAAAAAAUAUUAUAUUUCUUUUUUACCAAUAGAAUACAAGUAACUUUAAUCACUUCGUUGACAUUUUUGAUAAUUGUCGACGUGACAUUCCGAUUCGACCCGAUAUUUGAAUCAAGACUACCCCAACACUCGAUCUGGGAUCCGACAUUCAAAUCGAGAUUCGAUUCGAACAGCCGAGAUCGACGAUUGGUCCAGGAUUCGAUACCUGACCUUGGACUCGAUCUCAAUUCUUGGCCCUGGAUUUGACCCCAAUCCUGAAUUUGAAAUGGGACCUCACACUCGAAUUUAGACCCAACUUUUGAACCAAGAUUCAAUCAUGAAUUCAUGACUCUCGAUUUUCUCGAUUUGGGACUCAAUUUUCAAAUUGGGACCUGACCUCGACACCUAAUUUUGGAUCUGACUUUCAAACUAGUAUUUAACCCUACACCCGACCUCAACGAUCAACUCAAAACCCGAAUCUGAUACUUGAUUUGGGACCCAAUCUUGACCCCAGACUCAAAACUCAACUGUCGACUCGGUAUUUGACCCAGAUAUGACACAUAAAUAUGGACCCGACUUCUGAUUCAAAAUUUGAUCCCAACUCCUGACCCGAGAUCCAACUUUGAACUAAGACUCGACCCUGAUAUUUGAUCUGGAAAUCGACUUUCAAAUCAGGAUUCUAUGCCGACACUAACACCUGACCUCGAUGAUGGAUCCAGAACCUGAACCCGAUACUCAAUUUAGCGAGUGUUUGGUUUGUUUUAUUCAAAAUAAUAUGCAUUGCAUACAUUUUAUGAACAAAUUAUUUGUUUAUAAAAAAUACCUGAGAAAAUAUUAUAUUUCUUUUUUAGCAUUAGAAUACCAGUAACUUUAAUCACUUAGUUGACAUUUUUUUCUAAUUGUGGACAUGACAUUUGAAUUCGACCCGAUACACGAAUUUAGAUUUGACCCGAUAUUCGAAUUGGGAUUCGACCUCGACAUUGGAUUUGGGACCUAACUUUUAAAUCAAGAUUCGAUCUGAACACCCCAGAUCAACGAUUGAUUCAAGAUCUGAACUCGAUUUUAAUUUUUCGCCCAUGAUUUAAUCCCGAUCCUAAAUUUGAAAUAGGACUCUAUACCUAAACUGGGACCUAACUUUUGAAACAAGAUUUGAUCUUGAAUUCUUGGGUUUCGAUUCGAGACCCGGCGUCCAAAUUGGGACCCGACCUCGACAUCCAAUUAGGGACCUGACUUUCAACUAGGAUUUGACCAUACACCCGACUUCGAUAAUCAACCCGAAACCUAAAUCUGACACCUGAUUUGACUCAGAUGUAACACUUGAAUAUGAACUCGACUUUCGAACCAAGAUCUAAUCCCGACUCCUGACCCGAGAUCCAACUUUCAAACCAAGAAUCAACCAUGAUAUUUGAUCUAGAAAUUGAAUUUCAAUUAAGGAUUCGAUACCGACACCGACACCUAACCUCGAUGAUGGAUCUAGGAUUUGAACCCGAUACUCAAUUUGGAACCUAACUUUUGAACUGGACCCAACUCUGACAGUCGACCUGGAAACCAAUUUCUAAAUCGGGACCCGACACUCAACCUAGACAAUCGAUCUAGGACCCGAUACCGACACUGACAGACCUAGAUGAUUGAUCUAGAACCCGAACCCGAUACUCAAUUUGGAACCUAACUUUUAAACUAGAUCCAACUCCGACACUCGACCUGGAAACCAAUUUCUGAAUCGAGAUCCGACACUCAACCUCGACAACCGAUUUUGGGACUCGAACCCAACACCUGAUUUGGACAUGACCUCAACUCUUGACUCGAAACGUGAUUCAGAACCUCACCAAAAUACUUGACUCAAGACCCUACCCCAACACCCAAUAUUGAUUCCUUACUCGGGAUCCAAUGUCCAAAUCGAGAUUCCAUCUCGAUCCAACUUGAAACUCUACAGUUGGGUCUUGAAUCAAGGUCAGGAGGAGUCAAAUUUUGGAUUAGUAGGAAGAAUCGGUACAACAGACUUAAGUUAGGGUCAAAAAUUCAUAUGUGAGGUUGAAAAAUGAGUUUUGAAAAAAAAAAACUGGACUUGUUGGAGAUGUGUCAUUUUUCUUAUAUUUGAGAAAACCAAGUUGAUUUGAAAAAUAUUUGUACCCGUAUAAAGCUGAAUGUAAGCAUGAUGAUGUGACAUGCUUUAUUGGCAAAAAACGGUAUUUAUCUAUUUUCUCAGAAUUUCGAAUUUUUUUACUUAUUUUCUAUUCUAAAACUUUAACAAAGAAUUAUAUAUUUCCUUAUUAAUUAUUUUUAGCAUUUAUUAUAUUUAUUGAAAUGACACCUGUUAAAUAUAUAUGUUAAGUAUUAGAAAUUUAAUUGUCCCAUUUAUUCUUUCCUUAUUAAUACAAUGUAAUACUUUCCUAAAAUCUCUCUAUUUUCCUUAUGUACUUUCGUUUUCUGUUUACUAAUUAUAAGUAGUUAUAUUUCAUUUAUUUAUUUCCUUACUAAUGCAAUAUAUGUUUUUCCUAAAAUCUCUCUAUUUGCUAAGGCUGGCAAAAUCAAACUCAACACACUCAAUCCGUCCAAUCCAUUUAGUUUUGGGCGGAUUGUUGACCCGUUCAUUCAUUACAUUAACUCAUUUCAACUCUUUAAAAUUGGGUUGAUAUGUAAUCCGAAUUGACUUAUGAGAAAUCUUGUCAAAAUAUUUUUAAAAAGUUUGAUAUAUUAUAUAUAGUUAUAAUAAAGAAAAAAAGUAAUUUUAGUAGGUAAUAAAAUAGUUUUUAAAAACAAAUAAAACAAUUAAUUUUAGUAAAAAUUGGGGUGGCUUGGAUAUUGACCUGUUAUAUAACUUAUUACCUAAUCCAUUUUGACCCAAACAAAAUUGGAUUGAGUUGGGUUGAUUUUUUUAAAACAAUAAUUGUGGAUAUGAGAUUUCAAGUAAUCACACGUGUUAGGAUACGACUAAAGUACCCUCAACUUUAAGUAAAUUUAAUUGUCAAAUCGCUGGGGUAAGCUUGAUGGUCGUCCCUCUGUUGACAAAAGGAGUCCAAUGUCUUUGGGCUUAUGGGCUCAAAAUAUUCCUAUUUCUUUUAGGAAAAAUUAUCUAUCUAUACAUCAUUAUUUACGAUAUUCUCCAUUAUUUUUUACUAUUUCAAAAUAUUACAAAAAUCUCUAUUUUUCAUCAAAAAAAACGUAACUGUCCGGAUACAUUACUCCUCUCCACUCCAAACCCACGAUUCCUCACUCCUAUUUUCACUCCUUCAGUCUCUCCCUAUUCUCACUCUCAUAAUCUAAUCAGCUAUCUCCUUCAUCCUAAUUUUGUGAAUGACAAAAAAUAUGAAACUAAAUUGUGCUGAGAAAAUAAAGAAUAAUAUGUUUUAAGAAAAAAUGAAUGAAAAAGGAAGAAAAAUAUUUAAGAAUAAAGAAAUAAUCGGGAAAAGGAGAAAAAUAAAAGCAGUAAAAAAAAAGAAAUAGAGAAAACAAACGAAUAAAGAAAUAAUGAGAAAAAGAAGAAAAGGAGUGUAUAAAAUAAAAAUUGAGUAUGAAUUAGAUUAUGGUGUAAAAAGAAAAUAAAGAAUAAAAUAAUUUGGAACAAAUAAUAAACAAAAAUGCAUUCGAAAAAACAAGAUUAAAAAUAUGUAAUUAACUUGUGCUUUAAAUAUUUCUUUAGUCCUACAAAAAUACAAUUAUCUAAGGUUCUUCUUAAGAAAAUAACACAAAAUAUAAUAUGAGUGAUGAGUGAUGACACUAAAAUAUUCAACGAAAAAUAAGAAUGAAAUCACAUAAAACAAAUAUUGCAAAUAAAUAAGUCAUAAUGAAAAUGAUCAUAAUUUAAAUGUAUUAAAUCAUUCUAAAAUAAGCCGAAUGAGUAUUAAUUACAUGACUAAUAUUUAGUGACUAAAAUUCUAAAAAGUCAAACUUGAAAUAAUAUGAUAAAUUAGUGAUAAAAAUUAUGAAAAAGUGUAAGAAAUAUUUAUAAAUUAUAUCCAAAAUAAAUACUUUGAAGUAUGAAUAAAUUUUAAAAAUUAUAUGAAAGUUAUGCUCGUUUGUAUGGUUGUUACCUUUUUUUUUCCCCUUAAUAAUAGUUCUACCUACCUUACUUUUUUGGGAUAAUUUUAAAAGCAAUUCUCGAGAUUUCACUCUAUAACACUCACUUUCCUUAUGACUUUUGAUAUUACGCCUACCUUCCUUAUUUUAAUUUUUUGUAAUCAUUCUUUAAAUCUGUUUAAAAUAUAUAUAAAUUAAUUAUAAUUUGACAAAUUUAUCUCUUUUAUAUUAAUUUCUUUAAAAAAUAACUUAUUUAAUGAAUACUUUAAAAAUAUUCAUCAAUAUGAAGAAAUUGUAUUUAGUAUAUUACUUUCAUUUUAGUUACUUGCAAGUUGCAACAACACUUGAAAAAGACUUAUUUCUUUAAUUUAGUCCUUGUUCGUUUUCUUCUUUUCAUGGACAUGAAUUUACUCAGUCAAGUCUUCCUUCAAAUUUGAAAAAUAAAAUAAAAAUUCUACCUUCAAAAUUAAUCUUGAAGACUUUAAAAAAGGUCUGCAUCUAAUAACAUGCCAAAAUUAAAACAAAAGAAAAAAAAAAGUCAAGGAAGUUUCUAGAGAGAAUCCAAUUCUAGAGACAAUGAAAAUGUUGUCCACUAAAUAAGAAUUGGUUCAAAUGUCUCAUCAAAUUUUGGGAAGUCUUAAUACUUACUCCCUAUAAUUGCUUAGACAGCAUAAUAUUUUAGUCCACUUGAAUUAAAUAAGGGAUCAAUUUUAUUUUAUUUUUGGUAUAUAGGGUUUAAAACACGUAAUCUAAUAUUCCUUUUUCUUUUUCAUUAAUCAAAAUGACUUAUACAAAUUUGUGUUUUUAUAUAUACUUUCACUAUAUUGUCUUUCUUACCAAAUAUAAUUUUCUGAUUAUAUAAUUACGUUUACUAAUGUUUAUUUAUUAAUUGUUUCAAUGUUUACUUGAAUACUUAAUGUUUUGUCUUAUAUUUUAUGUAUUGUUAAAUAAGGUGCUGCAAGCAUCCAUCAAACAGGAAUUGAGCUGGCCGGCAAGCUAAUCCUCAACUAAUCCACUGAUUACAUAAUUGAUCAAUUUAUAAUUAUUUACCUCAAAUCAAUAAAUCAUAACAUGAAUAUUAUUAUGUAGAGUAAAGUGCUAGCCAAUCGAUUGAAAGUCCACGAGGUAAGAUUGAAGUGACCUUCGUGAUGGAUAACAUGAGAAAAAUGAGAUUGAGAUGGUUUGGAUAUGUAAAGAGAAGACAUACAAAUGCAUUAAUUAGAAAGGAAGUGUGAGAUGUUGGAUGAAAGGAGGAAUUAGGAGAAGUAAAAGUAGGCCAAAAAUAACUUGAGGAGGUGAUUGGAAAGGACAUGACACGCCUUUAGCCUACUAAUGACAUGAUAUUAGAUAUAUAAAAAUUUGGAGGUUGAGGAUAAAAGGUAAGUAGUUAAUACUCCACAAAAAAAAAAAAAAAGAUUCACCGACAAGACAAAAUUUGUAGCUAAAUAGCAAAUAUGAGAGAAAUAGUGAUGAAUUAUCGAUGAAGUUCGCUUCUAAUUCUAUAAUUAAUUAAUUAAUAUAUUCUCAAUUUAUAAAUUACUUAACUAUAGUAAAUUAGAUAUAAUUUGAUAUAAACCUCAAAUACAAAUAUAUUUUUUAUUAAAAUAAAAACAUUGUUAAACUGAGAAAGGAAUUGAAAGAGAAAACUUCUCAUUUUAUAUAACUUAAAUAUUUUUUGAUUUGAUAUAAACAUGAACUCGAUAAGUUCUUACCAUUUUCAUAGUAUCUCUUAAUUACUAGUAAUUUUUUCAUUAAAGACUAUCUAGUCCCUCAACCAAACAAGUGAGAAAUGUGAUUUGCCUUGUAUUCAUUUCCCUACUUCAUUAUUGCACUAUCUCUAUUAUUUUACGUGGCACCAAGCUAGUAGCUAGUCACAUGAUUUUGAAAAUUAUUCAGUUUUUCAAUAAUGACACAUUUUACCUGCAAACUUUUUGAGGCUAAAAAUGAAAGGGAAAAAAAAAGAAUAAUUAAUCAUUGCUUCCAUAUAGUGUGUUGUCACUAGCUUAAUGGGAUAACACAAUCACUCAGAAUUUUCUACCCAUAGGCCAUAAUAAUGCUGGCACACUGAUUGUUAUCUCCAUUAAUUGUACUCUCAUUUCUUUUAUUUAUUUAUAUAUAGUACAUUUUAUUUUUUAGAUUAUAUAUUUGUAAAAUUACAUUGAGUAUGCUAUUAAUGUUGUUGUUAUUCCUUUAAUUUUACUUGUAUAUAUACAAAAAAAAAAAAAAAAAAAAAAAAAAAAAAAAAGGGGCAGCAAUGCUAAUUGUGGAUUCGAGAGAAUUUGAUAGUGUUAACCCAAACUUAUUAUUUAUGUUAAGAAAUUUAAUUAAUGUGUAUAAAAGAUCUAUUUAAAACCCUAUAAUUAAAUAAAAAGAAUUGUGGUUAAGAACUUACAAAGCAAUUUUUUUUUUUACUUUACCUCUAGUUAAAUUUGAACGGGUGAAUACUAAGCAAGUCAUUUUUCAUUAUUUGGCCCAAAGAUUACUUGAACUAAGAACCAAGUCAAAAAUAAGUUAAAUAAUAGGCCAUAAUAUCCCAACCCGACCAACUUUCAUCUACUUUAAAUUUCAUUGUUUGUUUUCUUUAUCAUUUGUUUAAUUAUCUAAAAAAUUAUAUUUGUUAUGAUUAUAUAUAAUAUAUUGAAAUUUAAAAAGUUUUUCUAAAAUUAUUUUGACAAGAUUUAUUAUGGAUUAAUUUGGACUACGUACAUAUAGUAUGUUGAAUCGAGCGAAUCAAUAUGAAUUAGGUUAAUAAACGGACAGGUCAUUAGCCUACUCAAAUUUGUUCAAAUUAAAUGAGACAUAUAUUUUCAUAAACUAAUUUCACCAUCCUUAAUAAUGGUUAAUAAUGAGGUUCAAAAUCAAGAAAGAUCAUGGUUAUCACUUCUUUUUUUCUCUUUGUCUUCCAAAUGAACAAGCAAAUUAUUAGGAACAAGAAAGAAAAAUAGAACCAAAGUUAAAAAAAGUACUCCACUAACACUAUUUUUACAUUGUAAAUUUCUCAAAUCAUAAUCAAAGGGUUCCAAUAAAUCAACCCCCUUUUUUUUUCUCUUCAUAAAUUUGUAUGUGUGAAAUUUCAGAACCACCAAAGUCCAAAACUACCACACAUCCAAAAAAAAAAAAAAACAUAAAAAUCUACAAAUUAUAAACUCUUGAAAAUGAAUUAACUUGAAACUUCAUCCAAGAGACACAUCCAAAAAAAAAAAAAACAUAAAAAUCUACAAAUUAUAAACUCUUGAAAAUGAAUUAACUUGAAACUUCAUCCAAGAGCUUAUAUCUUCUUACCCUAUUUUUAAAUACCUUUCUUGUGAUCCCUCUAUUCGACAUUUCUUCUGAUUUUGUCCUCCUUACUUUUUCUUCAAUAUUUAUAUCAUCAAUUAUGACCCUUUUUCUAGCAGCCAAUAAAGGAGACUUUUGUAAUUUGAUGGGAUUUUUGUCGAUAAGUUGAACCUUCAAAUUACAAUUAGAACCCAUUAUUUUCCCCUUUGGACUUGUUCUUCCAAUAAAAUCAUUAUUUUCAUUCCUAAUGAUCAAUUUUUUCUUCAACUUUGGACCAUCUUGAAUAAUAUUUUGAUCACUUGUAGUAUUUUUACAUGAUGAUGAAGAAUUUGAUGAAUUUUGUGUUUUUUCUCCAGAAACAUCUUUUGGACUCAAGCACCAAUUGCAAAUUUUAUAAGACUCAGCUUUUGGAUACAAAUUGCUACAAUAUCUGCAAAAAAAAAGAGCCUUUUAAUCACACUAUAUUUUCAAGAAAAUCCAAGAAAAUAAACUAAGUAGCAAAAAUAAAUUAUGUUAUGAUCAAUUUAAACCACCCCAUCAUAUUAUGUAUACGAUACAUUAAUAAAUAUGUCAACUAUUAAACAACUUAUUAGAAAUACAAAACAGCUAGUCAGAAAUGUCACGAAAUUAACCUCCAGCUCUUCAAGAGGAAAAGAAAUAAAUUAAAUAGCAUAAUUAUAAGAGAUUGUUUUUUUUUGGGAAAAGAUUUGAAAGGGGUACCUGUGUUGAGAUCUAAAUUGACAAAUUUUGCAUUUGAAAAGCUCAGAAGAUAAACCAUAGUCUCCACACAUGCAACACUCAAUGGCUCCUCCUCUGUUGAUUGUCAUAUCUAUGUAUUAUUUGUCUUAUUAAAAUACUAUAGACUAUAAAUUCUUCCCCUAAGGGAUUUUAAUUAUGUAUGUAAUAAUAUGCACAAAUAUGUAUAUAUAUAGAUGUAUAUGUAUGCGUGUGUAUGAGGUGUUUGGGGGUGUAGGGGCGGGGGGUGGGGUNNNNNNNNNNNNNNNNNNNNNNNNNNNNNNNNNNNNNNNNNNNNNNNNNNNNNNNNNNNNNNNNNNNNNNNNNNNNNNNNNNNNNNNNNNNNNNNNNNNNNNNNNNNNNNNNNNNNNNNNNNNNNNNNNNNNNNNNNNNNNNNNNNNNNNNNNNNNNNNNNNNNNNNNNNNNNNNNNNNNNNNNNNNNNNNNNNNNNNNNNNNNNNNNNNNNNNNNNNNNNNNNNNNNNNNNNNNNNNNNNNNNNNNNNGGUGGGGGGUGGGGUAUGGGGUGUUGAAGAGGAUUGUCUGCCACACAAGAAAAGAAAAAGAUAGUACCAUAAUAGAAGGGUAAAGUUUUUAUCUUUUUUGCCCCACCUCUUUAUUAAUAGCACAUUUGAUUCUUUAGUUAUUUAUAAAUUUUAAUUUUAGUCUGUGUGUCACGUAAAAAAUAUUAGAGCAAAGUUGUUAGCCUGAAGAGCAAAGUGUAAAUGAGGUUCGAGUUGAUAAACAGGAGAAUGUUGCAAUACAUCUGUAUCGCCAUUCUCCCUGGGGCUUAAGCAUAUUUAACGUUGAAUUAAUUAAAAUAUACUACUAUAAUUUUGGUUCAUUAAUGUUUCACAAAUUUACCGGAAUCAUUAACCAUUCAACUAUUAAUUAUCAUGUAUUAUGUUAAGUUUGUAUUGUUACUUGAGGGCAAUAUAGCUCCCGUUUAGUCAUAGAUUUUAAAGUUGAAACUUAAAACUUGAGGGCAAAGUUGUGUUUGGACAAUGUUUUUGUUUGGGGGAAUGAAGUUUUUGAGUGGAAAUGUUUAAAGAUCAGAUAUCUAAAGAUAAUUUUUCAAAACUUUCAAAAUCUAGGAUCAAACGCUAACAUAGUCUUAAAGAUAGUCCAAAUAAUAGAUUUUAUGCUCAAGUAUCUAAAACUAGACGUUUCAAUGAAUUAAAAGUUAAAUAUAUUGAAUCAAAUUAUACGAUGAUCAAAAUAAAAAUUUAUCGACUAUUAUAAUUUCUUGUUUUCUUUGUUAGAAUUGCGUAUGAACGUUAGAAAUGAAUCAUCAUAUCAUUUUCAAGGGUCCCGUGAGUGACAAGUAUGUAUUUUAAUUUGUUGUAAUUAGCCAAUUAGUUGCUAAAAUGGAACUGUGGGGCACGUAGCUAAUUUUUUUAUUUUUUUUUGUUUAUUUGGUUAGAAUUUAAAGUUUAUUUGUGUGGACAUUCUUUCAUUGUUCACUCGUUUUCAUUUUUUAAUUAUUAAGACGACUUGACUAGGAAAUAAAAAGGGAAGUAUAGAAGUCUAUGAUAAAUAAAGUUGAUUUGACAUGUAUCAUAUGAUAAUUUUUAUAAAAAAGAAAUAAUUAAUAGUUUAUAACCAAGAUUAAUUUAUGCAAAUUGUGUAGUAAAUUAUUUUGGUUUGCCGGACAUGAUUAAUGCAGAGAUUAGCAAUUUGAGGAAAAGGUAGUCUUUAUUUAGCUUCUUUUCUCCAUUCUUUAGGCCUUAAGUGGUGGAGAAAAAAAGUUCAUUUUAGUCCAUUUAUUAUAGUUUUAAUUUUAAGUAAGAAUAAUUUACUCCUCCAAAGAGUAAUUAUACUGUAAUUAAUUCAUAUAUGCAUACAUGAUAUAUAUUACUAUUGACAAAAUUUCAUUCGAAUGCCCAUUUGGUAAAAUAAUACCAUUCCUUAUAUUUCAAUUUAUUUAUUUUACUUUUCUUUAUAGUUCAUUUUAACAAAAAUAUAUUUUCCUCUUUGGCGAUUCUUUAAUUUCAACUAUUCACAUGAUAUGUUUAAAACUACAAGAUUAAAAGUCAAUUUGAUACAUACUACAUAUCUUUAGUUUAAUUAAGACCACUGAAAUAAAAAAAUCCUCUUUUCUUUCUUAAACUCCUUAGUCUGCAUCAACUAUCGGUUAAAACUAGAAGAACAAAUCGACAAAGACGGAGUAAUUGUUCCCUUAGAAGAUUUUGGGAGGUAUGAGAGAAAAAAAAUGAAGAAUUAUCCAAAAGAAAUGAAGAAUCUCUUAUUUUUUUCUAAUGGGAAAUUUUCUUCUAAACGUGAAUGUACUUGAUUAACUAAUGCUUUGAUUCAUACAAAAUAGUCGAUCUAACCAUCACUCUGUUGGCUGUCAAAAAGUCUUGGAUGACUUCUUCAGCACGGCAAAAAUGGAAUGCUUUAGCGUAUACUCAAUUCUAAUGAAGUGUAUUUACUAUAAGUUGAUACACUUUCCUAAAAGAUAUCAUAUUUUGAGUUGGUGGAUUGUGGAGUGACAUGGUAAAUGCCAUAUUAAAGACGUGUUCUUAAUUCAACAAAUUUCUUCAUUUUUUCAACUCUUAAUCCCAUAAAAUAAACAAAAGGGUUGUGGGUGACAAAAAUAGAGAUAGGGAUAGAUUUAAGAUUUAUAUUUAAUAAGUUAAGUUUUCACAAUACUUUAUUAUAAGUUCAAAUUUUUAAAUAACUUUUACACGUAUGACGUAACUAAUACAAUAUAGUUUGUCGAAUAUAUGAGUUCAAUUAAAUUCAUUAAAUUGUGUUUCAUCUGCCUUGAAAUGAGAACGAAUAGAAGGAGGAGGAUUCUUUGGUGACAUAGCAAGACAAUAAGUGGCCCACACGUAGAAAACAAAGAAAAAAUGACAACGUAAUUUCAAAAUUCUUAACCAAAUUAAUCCUAUAUUACAACAACGAUAAUCUUGUCAUUUUAUGCCAAUAUUUUGAUAUCGUUGUACCUGAACCGAAGAUCUAUCAAAAUUUUAUAUUUCUAUCUUUUUAAGGUAUAAAUAAAAUGAAACUGUACACACACCAUCAGACUCCAUUAUUAUUAUAUAACGUUUAAUAUACCAAAUUUAGAAAAUUGAUUGAUCUUAUUGUCGGACUAAUUUCAUUUGAUUUAUGGAAUCCGAUGUGCUUUCUACGUAAGUCCAAGAUUAGUAAGUUUGUAUUUGAUUUAUGGAAUCUUAUGUGAUCAAAUUAGUCUCGCUAAUCACCAUCAGUGUGGUCAUCACGUAUGAAAAUAAUUUAUUCACAGUACCAUAUAAAUUGACAAUUUAACAAUCAUUUCCUUGAUUAAAUAAACAAAACCACUUCCUUAUCCAAAUAACCAAACCAUAAUAAUUUUCUUCUUUUUUUUCCCCUUCAAAAUUUUUAGUUCAUCUUUUUCUUAUCUUUAAUACAAGUCAGGUUCACCAAAUUGUUCACAACAUUAAAUUCUUACAAAUAUUCAAGUUUAUAUUCUUUUCGACAAAUUAGACUUUCCCCUUGUCCUUUUGUUUAGAUCUUUUCCCAUCACCUUUUUGUUUUAGGUUUGAACUGAAACGAAAUCAGUCGAUAAAGUCAUUUUGUUAUUUUAGUUUCUAAGCUUCAGAACCUAAAAACAAACCCUCGAAAAAAUAAUUCGAAGAGAUUUAUGUACAAACCCAUCUUAUUGAAUAUUGAUUGUGAAGCGAAUACUGGAAAUGUAUAAGUUUACCAGGAAGUAAUUGUACAUCAAUGUCCUAAUUGUCCCAAGGAAAUAACUCACAAGUAUAACAGACUAUUAGCAGACAUUCUCACCAACGGCACUGAAUAUCAUUAACCUAAGCCUCGAUCUAUCAAAUGCGAGGAUGACACCGUUUUUACCUUAAAUUUAUUACUAUAUUACAUAAGAGACCGGUACAUAUAUAUUUACAGAAACCUCGCAGGAAGAGAGGACAGUUGAGAAGAAUUUGGAUAUGAUACAGUAAAACUAAAAUGUAAAUUACAACUUGACAAUUUUUCAGCUGGUUUGGGAUCCAAAAUUUUCAAUAGACUUCGAUAACUAUACAUGACACACUUUUCCUCUGUCCCAAACCAGCUUGUCCAACAGAUUAACUUCAUAUCCAGGCAUCUGUAGUAAAACACAAAUGUAAAUACAAAACAAGCGAUACUGUCGUGCCACCACAUUCCAGAAACUAAAGCAACCCGGUCAAAUGCAGAAAAGCUUUAACAAU
rnacentral:lncRNA from 1 species